CUCCUGUUGGUACAGUCUUUAUUAUGAAGGAUACAAGGUAGAAAGAGCCAGAUGGAAGAGAAGCACAGGACAAGGUAUCGUGGAGGAGGAACAGCAUUUCUUCCCUCUGGAGGAUGUACCAUUCAGAGAACCACCUCAAAUGUGGAAACCAGGCCCUUGUCAGACACCAGACCUGAACACACCUUGACCCUGGAUUUCCUAGGCUCUAGAACUUAAAAGGCAGACAAGUUGAUUUGGUGGUUGAGAUGAAGAGAAGA
rnacentral:lncRNA from 1 species